AGCAGCCGCGGUAAUUCCAGCUCCAAUAGCGUAUAUUAAAGUUGUUGCAGUUAAAAAGCUCGUAGUUGAAUUUCGGGAUCAGUACGCCGGUCGUGCCUUCGGUAUGUACUGGUGUCACUGAUUCCUCCCUUCUGAAGAACCGUUAUGCCAUUAAUUUGGUGUGACGGGGAAUCAGGACUGUUACUUUGAAAAAAUUAGAGUGUUUAAAGCAGGCUCGCGCUUGAAUACAUUAGCAUGGAAUAAUGAAAUGGGACGUUUGAUCUUAUUUUGUUGGUUUCUAGGAUCGACGUAAUGAUUAAUAGGGAUAGUUGGGGGCAUUAGUAUUCAAUUGUCAGAGGUGAAAUUCUUGGAUUUAUUGAAGACUAACUACUGCGAAAGCAUUUGCCAAGGAUGUUUUCAUUAAUCAAGAACGAAAGUUAGGGGAUCGAAGACGAUCAGAUACCGUCGUAG
rnacentral:rRNA from 1 species